GACGAACGCUGGCGGCGUGCUUAACACAUGCAAGUCGAACGGAAAGGCCCUGCUUUUGUGGGGUUCUCGAGUGGCGAACGGGUGAGUAACACGUGAGUAACCUGCCCUUGACUUUGGGAUAUCUUCAGGAAACUGGUGCUAAUACCUGAUAUGAGCUCCUGCUGCAUGGUGUGGGUUGGAAAGUUUCGGCGGUUGGGGAUGGACUCGCGGCUUAUCAGCUUGUUGGUGGGGUAGUUGCUUACCAAGGCUUUGACGGGUAGCCGGCCUGUGAGGGUGACCGGGAAAAUUGGGACUGAGAUACGGACCAGACUGCAACGGGAGGAAGCAGUGGGGAAUAUUGCAGAAUGGGAGGAAGCCUGAUGAAGCAACGCCGCGGGCGGGAUGAAGGCCUUCGGGUUGUAAACAGAUUUCGCAUGUGACGAAGAGUGAGUGACGGUAAUGGGUAAAGAAGCACCGGCUAACUACGUG
rnacentral:rRNA from 1 species